GCACAAACCCUUUUCUGAGAUAACCACUGGGAUGAUUUUAAUGAAAUUUGUUGCACUUGAGAGAGAAAGUUAAAUUCUAGUGACUGUUGUAAGUGGAAUGUUAAUUUAGGGUACGAAAUUUUUCAAAAGUAACUUUCAAAAAUUGGUGGGUUUGAACAAAGAUGGAAGCACGAGGUGUACAAAUUUGUAGGUCUGCAUUAAGAACAGAUAUGGCACUUCUGUAAACUGCAUCCGUUAGAGCAUCCAAAGCGGACAAAUUUGAUACAUCAAUUUACAUCUUACGUGAAUUAGUUACAUUGUUUACAAGUGUUUUGCAAAAGUCCAACUAACAUAUUAGUGCUCUAUUUAAGAGCCAUGUAUAAUACACUAAUUUUGUCCGCUUUAGAUGCGCCAGCAUAUGCAAUUUACAGAAUUGUGAUAUCCUUUUUCAUUGCUGAGUUACAGAGUUGUAAACUUGACAGUGUGGCUUUCUGAAAAUUAGCCGAUUUUCUACAAUUUUUAUAAAAAAACUUGACGGCCUAAAUUAAGCAUUCGCUACCAACAGUGACUAUAUUUUAAGUUCUUCUUUUAAAUGCCACAAACCCCAUCAAAUUUGGAGCAGUGGUUGCCGAGAAAAACGAUUUCUCCUAGCUUUCCCAUGUAUUCAGAUAGGAGCCCCCGUGCUAAAGCUACCAAUGCUCGUAAAUCGGAGGGGCCAAAGAAACUGAAACAAAAUAUUGUUUGUGGUGAGUACUUUCUAAAUAUCAUAUGCUUUAAAUUGUUAUAUAUGAGAAACUAAACAGAUAUAUGUUCGAACUUUGUUGAGUUUUGCAAAGUCCACAUUCAAACUCUUCCAGAUGGCGCCACAACGGCUCGCCAAACGCGCGCGGUGCGAAUACGAAAGUUCGUCAACUGUGAGAUACGAGCGCGGGAAACUGCUGCCUGUGGGCAAGCUGGUGCCGGCUUGACAGCUCAACGUUUUCCGUUUGUGCUUACGAGGCGGCGUUACUUGAGAGAAGAUAAUAAUACUUUGAUGCUCUUCUCACGCCUACAAAUGAGGGCGACGUGAUAAACAGCACAGCACGCGAAAGGGUACGUGAACGCCAACGAACGGCGUGCCGCCAACAACUGCAUGGGCUGUCACUUCAGUGUAUUCUUCCCGCCUUUGGAAGAAGCAUUUUGGACUAAAGCUACCUUGAUAUGUACAAAACAUGGGAGACUACGUGCAGGAUUAUGAAUGGCUACCUGAAUGCUGCUUGAAGCAGCCAGCUCUACAGCACCACUCAUGCCCCUUUCCAUGGGUUGGCAAGAGGAGCAGUGGCACACAACUCUACAGGCACUUGUGCUUUUUAUCAUCUUUGGAGGAGAUGUAUUGGCAGCUGCAGGUGGUCCCUUCUCAUACGCCAUGCCAAGGAGUCCUGCAAUCCGAGUCAUGCAUCACUGCCGGUGACUGGUAAUGGUGACAUUUUUUUCAUAUUCAGUAUCAAGAAUGCUUACUUUUCCUAGCCUUUUGUCACUCAUCCCCUCGUUUUUCAAAUGUUAAAGUGUUGCACGUAGGCUGUUCUGUAUUCACACUACUCGAAUAUUUUUUUUCCACAGCCCCAAAUUUUAUUUUAGUUGGACUUUAUAAGCACUUCAAAGCAGCAAAAGCCAACAGUGCACAGUUUAAAGCAGCUGGAGGUGCUGCUUCAUGUGUACCAAUUGUCACACUCACUGCAGAAGGUUGCUGACAAGUAUGGGAUCCCAGUUGUGCUGUUUGACGUUGUGCUGCUAAGCCCGAGGGCACGGGAUGUAAACCUGGCUGUGGUAGCCGCAUUUCAAUGUGGGUGAAAUGCAAAAACACCCAUGUACCAAUUAAGGAACCCCAGGUGGCAACAUUAAUUUGGAGUCCCUCGUACUGCAUGCCUCAUAAUCAUAUCGUGGUUUUGGCACGUAAAACCCCAGAACUUAGUUUAAUUUAACAGUUGGUGCCCUUCGGUUUUCCAAUUUUCUCAUUUUCUUGCUUACAAAAGCUCUGUUCUCGCUACAAAUGACAAAUUCGUGAUUACGGAAGCCGAACUUUCAAUCUAGCUUACCUCAAUAUUUUUCUUUAGCGUACCUUUAACAUGCAUUUAUAGCAUUGAACCUGAAUUAUUUUGCAUUUAUCCAUGUUGGACUUGUGCUCAACAGCUGGAUGGCAUAGAUGCAGAGCUACUACUGUGGGC